rnacentral:rRNA from 1 species
CGGAGGAUCCAAGCGUUAUCCGGAAUCAUUGGGUUUAAAGGGUCCGUAGGCGGGUUUAUAAGUCAGUGGUGAAAGCCUAUCGCUCAACGAUGGAACGGCCAUUGAUACUGUAGAUCUUGAAUUAUUAGGAAGUAACUAGAAUAUGUAGUGUAGCGGUGAAAUGCUUAGAGAUUACAUGGAAUACCGAUUGCGAAGGCAGGUUACUACUAAUGGAUUGACGCUGAUGGACGAAAGCGUGGGUAGCGAACAGGAUUAGAUACCCUGGUAGUCCACGCCGUAAACGAUGGAUACUAGCUGUUCGGAGCAAUCUGAGUGGCUAAGCGAAAGUGAUAAGUAUCCCACCUGGGGAGUACGUUCGCAAGAAUG